rnacentral:misc_RNA from 1 species
GAUGUUGGUGAUGAUCUUUACAAGGAUGAGGAUGAUCGGAGGAAGCUUGCUUAGUUGAGCAAACUUGAAAGGGAGAUGAUAUUAUAUGAAUGGGCAGACAGAAAAGGUACACUGCUGGAGAGAGGGAUGGCCUCUCAUUGAAAAGGUACACUUCAGCUGCAUCAAUGUCAAAACCUGAUCAGGUUGGCCUCUCAUUGUCCCCUUUGUACACAACUCUGAAAGCGGGGGAGGCUGGGUAUGAUCCAUUUUCA